CUUCGGGAUGCACGGGGAGGCGCGGGGAUGUUCAGGAAUGCUCAUGGAUGCUCGGGAUGUUUCCUCAUCUCAGCUGGAGUAGAAUGUGUGGCUGGAAGAGCACAGUAUAACCAAAGAAACCCUGAAACGGGAAACAGAGUCAGCCUUCCCUGCAAGGAGGUCUCUCAAACCAGUUAAUGCACCAGUCCAGGUCACAAUGGAACUGGAUGAACGUCAAGCAGGUGCUCCAGUCACACCCAGCAACAACUCCUGCUCCUUCCUGGGCCCAGCUGAACCGGCAGAGGAGCACAGAGAAUGUUCCACAUCCCACCCUCAAUUUCCCACUGCCAUUUCUGAGAGUCAGCUCCAGGGGUCAGGAGAAACCAGCAGCCAGCACUCAGCCAGGACCACAGAGCAAACCUCAGAGGAGCAGCUGCUGGUCUACUGAUUAUAAUAUUUAUAUGGCAAAAAAGACAGUAAAAUGCCUCUAGAACA